rnacentral:rRNA from 1 species
AGCUCCAAUAGCGUAUAUUAAAGUUGUUGCAGUUAAAAAGCUCGUAGUUGGAUUUCGGAAUGGUCCAGUUGGUCCGCCGCAAGGUGAGUUACUGACUGGUUUGUUCUUCUUCUUAAAGACUGCGUGUGCUCUUCGCUGAGUGUGCGUAGGAUUUAGGACGUUUACUUUGAAAAAAUUAGAGUGUUCAAAGCAGGCUAUCGCUUGAAUACAUGAGCAUGGAAUAAUGGAAUAGGACUUUGGUUCUAUUUUGUUGGUUUCUAGGACCGAAGUAAUGAUUAAGAGGGACAAUUGGGGGCAUCCGUAUUUCGUUGUCAGAGGUGAAAUUCUUGGAUUUACGAAAGACGAACAACUGCGAAAGCACUUGCCAAGAGUGUUUUCA